GGAUGCGAUCAUACCAGCACUAAAGCACCGGAUCCCAUCAGAACUCCGAAGUUAUGCGUGCUUGGGCGAGAGUAGUACUAGGAUCGGUGACCUCCUGGGAAGUCCUCGUGUUGCAUCCG
rnacentral:rRNA from 1 species